rnacentral:snRNA from 1 species
GUGCUCACUCUCUUCUGUC